GUGCUCCGGCUCGGCGCCGCCUCCCGAUCCCUCCCUGCACCCACCCCACUCCCCGCUCCUCCCCCUCCCAGGCUGUCACACGCGGCCAGGCAGCGCUGGGCUUCGACCCAAGCGCUGCCGACGGCUCUGGGCGGAGAGGACUGACCUAACCCGGGGAUAGGAAUCCUAAGCCCUACUCUCCAAGGACUGGGAGAUGCUGGCAGGAUGGAGAUUGGAGCUCUCCCACAACCACCAGCAAACCUACAGAACGCCCCCCAACCCACCCCCACCCUCGUCUGCAGCUCCCACCUUCCUUCCCCUCUAUCAGUUCCUGUGUUGCUUACCCCCACCUCCCUUACCCCCUCCCCCAACUAAAGGAUUGUUCUGCUUGGAUACAGAGAGAGGGCUGGUGGCCUUUUUUCUGGAGCAACAGGAGGAUUGAGCUUUGCCAGGGCAUCCUUGAGAAGCAGCCAGGGAAGGUGUUUUGACACCACAAGAUGUCUAUCUUAUAUUCACAGCUACACUCCAUCCAAAGCUGCAACAUCUCCAAGAUUCCUGGUUUGGGGGGGGGGUCACAGAGCCAUUAGGUGGUGAUGGAAGUGGGCAAAUGGCAGAACCUGCUAAAAGCUCUUCUUUCUUGAGGAAUCAGUAAAGAAAUAGGCAGAGUGUUGGCUCUAUACCAAACAGGAAAAUACUCUCUUUUGGCACUGCUAAGACUGUUGCCAUUGACCUAAUGCAGCCUUAUGUCCAGCGUGAGUCCCUCACGCUAAUCUCUCUCCUGCUGCAAUCUGAGUCCUACCUAGAGCAAGGAAGCAGUCACCCCUAGGAAACUCAAACUCUCUUUCCAAUUCAUAGACACACUCAGGCUUGGGAAAGCCAAAGGCCAGCAGGCAUGCAGGAAGCAAUAGACCUCAUUAUACAACAAAACUGCCUUUGAUUCUGUACUGACAUAGACAGUCACAGCCACAAGCAAAAGAGCAAUGGUUUGGAGUCUCAUUAAAAGCACACCUACUGCUUCACGGGAGAGCUGCUUUGGGGGCUGGUCAAAAUGCCCUCAAGUGGACAGAGAUGAACUUUACAGAAAAUUAUGGGGACACUACACUGAACACUGAAAUGUUUAAAGGUGAAUGGUAUGUUGUAGAUCCAUUUCAGAAAGAAAAACUACACCCAUUAUGUGUAAACAUUUUAAAGUGGAGCUGGGCUAGCAGUACGCUAAGAUGAUAGAAAGAGUCCCACAGGACCUCAAUACAUCAGCAGACCAUCUGUCAAGCAGGAUGAGUGGAAAAAAGCAGGAGAAAGAAAAAAGAUAGAAAAAGCACAUAAGGCACAACGAGACUUAAAUAGAUCAGACCAUGCUGGAUUGGAGGGAAAAGUAGGAGGGAAAAGAUCAUCAGAGGAUACAUUAACUACAACUCAGCAUCAAAACCAACUUCGCAAGUAGACUGGGGAUGUGUUUAUAGGGGCACAAUCUCCAUGAGCCAGGACAAUCAUCUUUUUCUGCCACUACACUUGGCAUUGGUCAGGCUUUUAUUACUGCAGAGUGUCCUAUUCUGGCCUCUGCACUUGGCUCUAAGAGAAGCAGUCGUCCUCUCGACUAGAGUCACAAACACCCAUAGCCCACUUAAAUGCAUACUAAUGUGCCCCAAUUCUUAGCCCUAUAAACGAAUGUGGAAAUGCUAAUGCGUCAGACAGUCGUGCAUAAUUCCCUUUCUUGCUGGGAGCUUUUUCCAGCCUUCUGUGGCUCUAACUAAAGACUCAGACUCAGCCUGCAGGACUGUGCCAGGGAAAUGGCUAUCAUAAACACUAGCAGCUCAUACACAAACACUGGGCUGGACUAGGUACUGAAGGGCCCAGUCACGCCCCCAUGUGGUCAGAGCUAAUUACUGUCCCUGGGAUACUGCAGUUUCUGUGGGUGGGGAAUUCACUAAUACUGUAUCCCAUGCUUCUGUCGACACAGAACCCACAGGUAGUGCUGAGAGCUAGCCCUUGAAUACCAAGCAUAAACUGAGGAUGGCAAAGGAGGUUAGGUGCUUUUAGCUUGUCAGUACUAGGGGUUGAAUGCAGGACCAUCUAGCAAGGCAAGCACUCUAUUACCAAGUAAUACACACAUCCAACGGCAGGGAGCUGAAAAGCCAUGGGUGGACAGUUAAGAAGUGGAUGAACUCCUGAGUGAAUGUGUAUUACUGACCCAGGCACUGUCAUGUCAAGGACCAAUGCCUCAGACCCGUGGGAAACUGGCAAAGCCUACCCCAGCUUGGCCAACUGGUAAAGCCUUCCUCUGGCGUAAAUGCAAAUGCCGACAGUAGGCAAGUAUGAAUAUUUACUAAUGAUUGACCAGUGUGUAGAAAAACUAGCAAGUCCUGGAUGCUGAAUGAUGACAGCCUGAGACUGUUCAUUUAGAGACCUACAAGACUAACUCAUUCUUCCCCUCUAUGCUAUACCUAAAAAAUACAUCAGGGGUUCCAGGCUGCAUGUAGUAGGUGGUACCACUCCACUAGAGUGUGCACACCUCACCUGACCCAACUUUUUGGCAUAUGUGUGGAUCAUUUCUUUAGUGUUUGCCCUUUCUUCACUCCCUCACUACCCGUCAGGUUUCCAGGCCCAAGCCUAGAGGGAUAUAUGGUACACAAUCCCACAGAUGCCUUCUUGCUUUUGGUCUUGGUACUUGAAGCUUAGAAUCCCCCUGAAAUGCAGCUUUCUGCCAGACCGUAAAGUUAAGAAUGGGAAGCCAUGGUUACCUGGAGCAGCUGGACUCAGAUGGGGACCUUUGCUGGCCUUCGUAUUGCUGCACAAGUGCUCGCACACUCCAGUAUGGGUUCUCGAUCUCCUCAUCCACACUGGCAUUCCUAGGGGUGAAGGCGUGGGGUGGGGACCAGAAGAGAGGACAGUAUUAGUUAGCUCUGCAGUUCAGGUCAGCUCUGCAGAAAAUGCAGAUGUCCUGCCACUCAGUCUGCAGUGCAGGCAAGAAGAUGAAAAAGGGAGCCGGGUAGGCACACACCUGUCAUUCGAGCAUUGGGAGGCAGAGGCAGGAGGAUCAGAAGUUUGAGACCAGCCUGGGCUGCACAGCAAGAUCCUGUCUAUAAUCAAUCAAUCAAUCUCUCUUUCACACACACACACACACACACACACACACACACACACACACACACACACACACAGGAAUAAAUAUAGAAGGUAAACAAUUAAAAAUAUUGACCUCUUUCUAUGUCAUUUAAAACCUAGGAGCGAAGGCAUUGUCUGUGAUACCGUGGGAUCAUGUUCUCCUUUAACAACUACAUAACCCUCAAAGCACUUCCUACCGAGAAGUUUCAAGGCAGUCUGGCCUUAUGGAUACAAUCCCAGGAUACAACCUCCCCAAGAUGGACUACAUAUCUCCCAGUGAAGAAAACACACUGUGCCAAUCACAUAUAUUUAAGUUUUCAGGAUGAGAGCAAAUUUCCACACAUGGUUCCUUACGUUCUGCUAGCUGCAAAAUAAACAGCUGAGAAAAAGAAGGCUCAGCCUGGCUUGCUGCUGUGAGCCCGUAAUCCU